GUGUCAGCAGCCGCGGUAACACGAACCGUACGAACGUUAUUCGGAAUUACUGGGCUUAAAGGGUUUGUAGGCGGCCUUGUAAGUCAGGUGUGAAAGCCCUCGGCUCAACCGAGGAACAGCGCUUGAUACUGCAAGGCUUGAGGGAGACAGGGGUAAGCGGAACUGAUGGUGGAGCGGUGAAAUGCGUUGAUAUCAUCAGGAACACCGGUGGCGAAAGCGGCUUACUGGGUCUCUUCUGACGCUGAGGAACGAAAGCUAGGGUAGCGAACGGGAUUAGAUACCCCCGUAGUCC
rnacentral:rRNA from 1 species